AGCAGCCGCGGUAAUUCCAGCUCCAAUAGCGUAUAUUAAAGUUGUUGCAGUUAAAAAGCUCGUAGUUGAAUUUCGGGAUCGAUGGGUCGGUCAUGCCCUCGGUAUGUACUGAUCCCAUUGGUUCUCACCUUCUAAGGAACCAUGAUGUCAUUCGGUUGAUGUUGUGGGGAAUUAGGACUGUUACCUUGAAAAAUUAGAGUGUUUAAAGCAGGCCAACGCUUGAAUACAUUAGCAUGGAAUAAUGAAAUAGGACAUCCGAUUCUAUUUUGUUGGUUUCUAGGAUCGAUGUAAUGAUUAAUAGGGAUAGUUGGGGGCAUUAGUAUU
rnacentral:rRNA from 1 species